UUUUUACCAGAUUGUUUUAACUUUUUCAAUUUCAGUUUUACCUCAUUCUCUCAAUUUCAGUUUUACCUCAUUCUCUCUCCUCCGCCUCUCUCCUUCUCUCUCCUCUGUGUGCGAUUUCUGCCUCUGUUUGGCGAUUGUGGCAAUUUUCUGGGUUGUCAAUCUAAGAAACAUUGGCGAACGAAGGACUAAGGCGAACAAAGCUAUUCAAGUGCUCUACUUUUCCGUCUCUACUUCAGGCAAUGGGACAUCAGGACCAUCACUGCACACGCCCAAAGAGGCCACAAACGUUGGGACCAUCUCUACUCUGCUCACGGUGGUGGACUGACUGUGAUUGACCAUCUCUUCUCUCAGCCAAGCUAUGCAUUAUAUGAUCAAACUAGAGUUUUAGUUUGGAAGUAAGGUUCAACAAUAGAAUAAACAUGAGAUUAUAGCUAAUUUGAACAAAAUUUUCACCAAGAAGCAGAAAUCUAUGUAUAGAAGAACUCCUUUUGGAUGCCAAAAGAAGUUGAUGCUCUGUUGUUUCGCCAAGACAUUGCUUGUUAGUUUGUAUUUUCAUGGGAAGAAGAAACAAGAAGAUGGAUAUUUGACUAACGAUGAGUUCAAUGAUAAGUUUUUAGAGAAAAGGCAUAAGAUGAGGAAGAUUGUUGCAUAGGUUAUUUAAGAAGCUUUUGGAAAUGAUAUUUGACUUUUUUUUUUUAUUUUGUUUAUGUUCUAGACCAGUUUAGCUUUUGUAAAUGAUAUUUGACUUUUAGAAAUGAUGACCAAUAGUUAGUUGCAUACUUAUCUAUUUUUAAACUGCUACUUUUGUAAGACAUUUGUUACUUAAGACUAUUUUAUAUAUCAAUUGAUCUUUUUUGUGUUA